rnacentral:rRNA from 1 species
UAGGGAAUCUUCGGCAAUGGACGAAAGUCUGACCGAGCAACGCCGCGUGAGUGAAGAAGGUUUUCGGAUCGUAAAACUCUGUUGUUAGAGAAGAACAAGGACGUUAGUAACUGAACGUCCCCUGACGGUAUCUAACCAGAAAGCCACGGCUAACUACGUGCCAGCAGCCGCGGUAAUACGUAGGUGGCAAGCGUUGUCCGGAUUUAUUGGGCGUAAAGCGAGCGCAGGCGGUUUCUUAAGUCUGAUGUGAAAGCCCCCGGCUCAACCGGGGAGGGUCAUUGGAAACUGGGAGACUUGAGUGCAGAAGAGGGGAGUGGAAUUCCAUGUGUAGCGGUGAAAUGCGUAGUAAUAUGGAGGAACACCAGUGGCGAAGGCGGCUCUCUGGUCUGUAACUGACGAUGAGGCUCGAAAGCGUGGGGAGCAAACAGG